UUUCCAAUGUUUUAUUAAGGCUAAAAAUUGGUUUUUCUUUAGCUUUAAUAAAUCUGUCAUUACUAUUAUCUUUGUUUAAUAAAUCUUUUAAUUGUUUAGUAUACUGAGCUUUUAGUUUAGGAUCAGUAAUUUUACUGAUUAGUUCAAUUAAAAAAGAGCUCUCUUCAUCAUCUUUGUUAAGUACAUUAACUCUUUUCGUGCAGCAAUUCUUAUUGCAAUUAUCAGCACAAAUAGUGACUUCUUCUGUGUCACUGCUUGAUGAUAAAUCUGUUUUAGAAGAAUUAGAGAUUGAAGAACCUUCAUCAAUACUAACGUCGUUCUCAAUUCUCAUAAGUUCUAAUAUGUGUUCAGUAUCUUCACUAGAGAUAUUUAGCUGAUUUAGUUUUUGUUUUAUUUUACAUUCACUUUUAUAGUGACCCUUUUGCCCGCAAUUGUGGCAAACAACUUUAUUCUUAUCGUAUUUUUUGGACUUAUAUUUUUUAAUAUGUCUUUUAUUAGUGGUUUUAGGCUUAUUAUAAUAAUUGUCUUGAUUUUUUAUCUUUGUGGUAACUUCGUUUUCUCCUAUGAUGUUUAGUAUUUUUGUGAGAUUCAAUAUGUUUAUGCCUAUGCUUCCUUCGGGAGGGAGCUAUUGGCGGUAAGCCAUAUUGUUCACAGAAAGUGCCUAACUUAUAUUUGGCCUUUUUCUUGUCUUUACUAGCCUGUUUGGCUAAUCUAAAAUCAAUACACAUUUUUAAUCCAAUCUUUUGAAUAUAACUAAUUAUAUCACCGUAGGUUAAGUUAUCAUAGUCAAUAUAACCUAGGUUUUUACUUAAUUCUUCACGAACUUAAUGGGCAAACAAUGAAGGUAAACCAUUGACAAAUUUUUCUUUCCAAAAUGGUUUAUUGCUAUCAUUGCGUAACAUAACUCUGG
rnacentral:lncRNA from 1 species